AGGUGUCCAUGGACCGGGUCGGAUCUGGUUAGUUGAUAGUCGGGUCUGGUUAGUUGAUAUAUUGUACCCGUACCCUAAAAAAGAAUGGUCGGGUCUGGGUAGUUGGCUAGUUGCUUAUAUAUCUCUGAAAAGUUUCCAACUUUCUGAUUUAUCCCCCUUAGAAGGCUAAUAUUGAAAAUACCUUUUUUACGUUCCAAUAUAUUUCAAAUAUACCCCUAGAGUUAAAAUCUGUUAGUGAACUCUGUUAUCUCUAUGAAAUUACUAUAUUUGCCCUUUCAAAUAUAGCCUUUUAUCAGCGCCGGCUUUUCUUAUUUGCCCUUUAAGUUACGGGCACAAAAAAUAUUUUGCUUUUUGAUCUUUUCAAAUAUAUCCUUCUACAAUCACCAACAUUUCUUAUUUGCCCUUAAGUUACGGGCAAAAGUGUCAUUUUAUUUUUUUUUAACUGUGGUAGAGAUUUAACUCACGUUUAACCCAAAUUAACUUAAUGGUUGAUAACUGUAAAGGUAUUUUAAAAUAACGGAGGAACAUAUGAGAGGUAUAUUAAAAAGAAAAAAAAAAAGGAAUAAAUGAGAUAUUUUUGAAGUUUUAAGGGGUAUAUAGACAAUUAUC
rnacentral:lncRNA from 1 species